GUUUGCUAUUGGCUCGCUGAUGGAUGAUUAUCUUGGAUUAGCAAGCUAGUAUUAUUUACUGGAUACUCAGUAUUUAAACUAUCAUCUCCUAAAAGGCAGAUAGAAGUGAUUAUGAGAUACUGUGGAGAUCCAAGAUUUGAAGUUAGAGUGGUUUUCCGUCAACCAUGAAAGCACAAUAAGUGUUAUAGUUAGUAGUAGUUUGUAAUUGACUAAUACUAAUAGUCUAGUCUUGUACCCGAUUGAUAGGUAUAAACAUAUUCAUCACAAAAACAAGUUUUGUUUAUUUUAAUGGUCGUAUUUGGUAUAUGUUAACUAAUUAAACUAAACGUUUAAUUUGUUCAAACUGUUGUUUGUUAGCUAUCCGUUUAUAGUUUAUAUGUCUAAAAGUUAUAUUGACUAGUCUAUUACUCAUUGCUACUAACUAGUUGGUCUAUUUUUUUCAUGGCUGACGGAAAACCACUCUAUGCAUUUUUAUUGUCUUAAUCUGGCAAGUAGCACCUACCAGAGGGUAGUAAUGAGGUAUAUAGUAAAUUUUGCAGUGUGAUUCAAGAGGUAAAACUUAGAUCCUUGAUCCAAAAAAAAAAACAAUUUUGAUGACUGAUUCUGAAUACCUGUUGUGAUCCUAAUAAUUCCUAGACAAUAAUUGUCAUUCAACAUCGAUCUAAAACUCUUGAUCCCUUACCCAAACAAAUGAGGAAAAUGUGAUGCGAAAAAUAACGCGAUACCUGAUCCAAUAUCAAUAUUGUCAUGACACUAAAUAGUAAUAAUUUAAAUUCAUGAACGACUUUCACAAUGGCUGACACUAAUUAGCAUUUAUUGUCAAAUUCAUAAUGAUAUGUUGACAAAGGAAAACACUCAGAUGAUAGAUAUUAAAGCUAAAGAUAAGCUUUGAAAGUUUCAAAGAAAAAUAUUAAAUCCUCUGGAAGUUAUAAUAUGGUUGGAAGAUGCACAAAAACACCAAAACGAGGCCACCAAGGCCUUAGUAAAGAAUUUCAUACAAAUCCUUGUAUUUUCAUUCCUCCAUAACUUCAUUAGUAUAAUUAAUCUAUAUCUUCCAAAUUUUGCACAAUUACUUAUUUGUGAUAGUUCUUCAAUAUGACAGUGCUGAAUGUUUCCUUAAUAUUGCCGAUCAUAUAAAAUCGAUAGUAGGCACUUGUGAAAGUGGUCUAAUUGCCAGGCGWAUUGAAACCUACUCUGCGAACAGAGCUUCUUUUCUCACCCGCCAAUACCAUUUUUCUCUCGCUUCUCAGCGGGUGAGAAAAGUAGCUCUGUUCACAGAGUAAUUGAAACCUUUAAUUUUGAUUCUCGGAUUUUCUUAUCAUGGUAUCCAGAAUUUCAAUUACUAGUAUAAAUAYAUAUGGACAAAUGGGGUCA